rnacentral:rRNA from 1 species
CAAGUCUGAGCGGACAGUACGUGAGAGCUCGGCUCCCGUGAUGUUAGCAGGCGGACGGGUGAGUAACACGUGGGUAACCUGCCUGUAAGACUGGGAUAACUCCGGGAAACCGGGGCUAAUACCGGAUGCUUGAUUGAACCGCAUGGUUCAAUUAUAAAAGGUGGCUUUUAGCUACCACUUACAGAUGGACCCGCGGCGCAUUAGCUAGUUGGUGAGGUAACGGCUCACCAAGGCGACGAUGCGUAGCCGACCUGAGAGGGUGAUCGGCCACACUGGGACUGAGACACGGCCCAGACUCCUACGGGAGGCAGCAGUAGGGAAUCUUCCGCAAUGGACGAAAGUCUGACGGAGCAACGCCGCGUGAGUGAUGAAGGUUUUCGGAUCGUAAAACUCUGUUGUUAGGGAAGAACAAGUACCGUUCGAAUAGGGCGGUACCUUGACGGUACCUAACCAGAAAGCCACGGCUAACUACGUGCCAGCAGCCGCGGUAAUACGUAGGUGGCAAGCGUUGUCCGGAAUUAUUGGGCGUAAAGCGCGCGCAGGCGGUUUCUUAAGUCUGAUGUGAAAGCCCCCGGCUCAACCGGGGAGGGUCAUUGGAAACUGGGGAACUUGAGUGCAGAAGAGGAGAGUGGAAUUCCACGUGUAGCGGUGAAAUGCGUAGAGAUGUGGAGGAACACCAGUGGCGAAGGCGACUCUCUGGUCUGUAACUGACGCUGAGGCGCGAAAGCGUGCGGAGCGAACACGAUUACAUACGCUGGUACUCCACGCCGUAAACGAUGACUGCUAACUGUUAGAAGGUCUCCGCCCCUUAUUGGUGCAGCAGACGCAUUAUUCACUCCGCCUG